AUGGACCAUUCCAUCCCUUUUUCCCAUGCAUAUGCAUCGGACUCGGAUGACGAUGGUCCCGAUGAACAAGUUGAUGCGGAGGGGUUCAUGGUGAAGGAGGCCGAAGCUUUCGAGAAGGUAUUUGGUCGGGAUCAUCGGACUACAUUGUUCAAGGAUGUUAGUCUCGCGGAUGAAGCCGUGGUAGAUGGUGGCCAAUGUGUAGUUCUUGGGGUUAGGCCAAGCUCUCAU
rnacentral:rRNA from 1 species